AACUUUUAAAAACGGAUCUCUUGGCUCUCGCAUCGAUGAAGAACGCAGCGAAAUGCGUUAAGUAAUGUGAAUUGCAGAAUUCAGUGAAUCAUCGAAUCUUUGAACGCACCUUGCGCUCCUUGGUAUUCCGAGGAGCAUGCCUGUUUGAGUGUCAUUAAAUUAUCAAUCUUUCUGGCUAUGUCAUGUAGCUGGUCAGGCUUGGAUGUGGGGGUUGCGGGCUUCUCAGAAGUCGGCUCUCCUUAAAUGCAUUAGUGGAACCUUUGUCGAUUCUCGCUCUGGUGUGAUAGUUUAUCUACGCCAAAUGCAAAAAGUUGACGCUUUUCUAUUGAAAGGGGGUUCUGCUUUCUAACCGUCCCUUACUUGUGAACAACUUCUUGACACAUGACCUCAAAUCAGGUAGGACUACCCGCUGAACUUAAGCAUAUCAAUAAGCGGAGGCU
rnacentral:misc_RNA from 1 species